GAGGUCCUAGUAAAACAAUUACAUAACUCUGUCAGUGUUAAAUUACAGGACACCCUGUGGACCUCC
rnacentral:tRNA from 1 species